rnacentral:lncRNA from 7 species
AGCAGCAAUGCAGCUAUGCCCACAGGAGUGCAGCCGGCUUCUCCCAGAGCCUCCGGUGCGACGCUACGGCAUUCAUCCAGUAUUGAUUCCGGGGAAACAGAGCUCCUGAACUGCCCAAACAGCGUUUGCAGCACGGAAGGUUUCCAUUGAGAUCUGCCCUCAGGACACCGACCCGGCAGCCCCGGCAGUUCGUGAGAGCCGCAAAUACUGCACUGCACGGUGAUGGGAGUGCGGCCCAUUGAUCUGAUGGCCUCAGCCUCUGGGAACGUGCCCAGUGCACGAGUCAGCCCGGACCUCCGGGAUCAACUGCAGGCAGAAGAGCUGUCCCACCUGCAGAACCACAGCCUGUGGGGCUGCCGUAUACCUUCAUGCCAUUGGAGCUAGCCAAAAAGUUCCUGUCCCUGCUGAAUCAUAGAAUCGUGAAGGCUGGAAAAGGUCGUCAUCAAGUCCAACCCAUCAGCACUGUGCCCACUGAGCCCACUGAGCCACGUCCCUUGAAGGAGGGGACGGAGCUGCCAGCAUCCAGAAAUGACUUCACCGCAUCUGAAAUCCACGCAGCACGCAGCCGUAGUAGAAAGAGCAAAGCACAAGAGCCCACGUGGGUGAGCUGUGGUUUAUUUCCACCCAGGACUGCACUCACAGAGCACAGCACCUCAUAGAAGCCACCGUACCUUCGAGCUCUGUUAACCCCUAGCACCACUGCUCUGCUUGCACACAGUCCCUCUGCCUCCCUCCUGCAACGACAGAAAGUGCAUUAUCUGGUGCUACACGAUCUCAUUACUAUCCUUGGUGCAACGGGUCAGACCCAAUAUAGGUGGGAGCAGGUGUAAUUUACACGCUGAAGGGAGUCGGAAGAAGGUGUAAAUUACUCAAGCUCCAACUACCUAAGAUGCAUUUAAAAUUCUCUCCGAAUUUGGCACCAGAUAUAUGGGAGAUAAUAAAGUUUCCCUUUUC